rnacentral:tRNA from 1 species
AGUAGGGUCAGCUAAACAAGCUAUCGGGCCCAUACCCCGAAAAUGCCAAAUCGGCCCCUACUA